rnacentral:lncRNA from 1 species
CCGUGAGGAGGAGCAGAAUGUUGUUUUGGAAUUCUGCAAAGGGUGCGUUGAGCAUAAAAAGGCCUUUAUUUCAAUCCUUGCAUUAUUGUUAGUGAUUUCCUUCUAUGCUUAGUUCUGCAAGGUUUGGUUGUUGCAUGGUUUCUACAUUGUAAAAAUCCUGGGUCAUACUAUAAUCUCCCUCUGUUUGCAUAUGGAUGUAGGCCCAUAGCUUGCCAUAAGUUGAACGAUGCUAGUAUUUUUAUCACUUAUAUCUCGGGUAGUUUAUUGUUUGACAUGCCUGUGUAUAACACAGUCACUCAAUGUUAACCCAGAUCCUCUACUAUAUUGUUUUGUGAAUUAUCCAUAUUUCCAACCAGUUAUUUUGUAUUAUUCCUAUCAAAUAUUACUAUCAGGUAGAGUCCGUAGUUAUUUGGAAAAUUGAAAAUAAAUGGCUUUUCCAAGAUGUUAAGUGUGUUUAUUCCUAGGAAUUACUACAGAGUGCAUGGCUUGAUGUUACCAAAGUUAUUUAUGCCUUUGAUAAUAUUCAUAUUUAAUGGUAACUUAUAUAUGGAUCCAGAUUGCUGAAAGGUAGAAAGUACUUUGAUGCAUUGUCGCAAAAAGGUUCUAUCAAUGCUUUUAUUCGAUAGCAUAUUUUUUGGUUGGAACUGUAGAUUAUAGGCCAAGGGAGCAAAUAAGCAUUUGGAAUGAUUUGCUAUGGCCCAGCAGUCAUCUAGGCUCCAGACAGUAUCCUUCACAAUUUCCUUAUUUUUACAUUUACUUAACCCUUUAUUUAUUUUUUUUCCUGAAUUUUCUUUAACCAAACUUUUAAAGCUGGGUCAACCCAAGCUACAGGGUUGACCGCUGCUCGUCAGAUAGGGGGACAUUGCAAAAUCACACCCUCAAGACUUGACCAGUCUUCUCAAGAAGGUAUCAGUUUUGCUAAUGUUCUAUUUAUACUAUUUUUCUGUAAUAUGUUUCAUUAUGUACUGUCUUCAUUGGUAAUGUACUUGUACCUUUUCAUCUCUGUCUCUCUGCUAUCAAAAACAUUUUGUUGGUGGAUGACUCUAUGUUUAAAUAUUGAGAUAUGAAACCGUUUCUUGACCUGCUUGUGAUGGUUGAAGCUUUUUGGAGUAGUUUUUUGACUUGUUUUUUAGCC